AGGCCCUAAAAAAAAGGGAUGUGCCCUAACCCUCCAUAUUUUUUCCCUUAUUUUUUAACCCCAAAAAUCAAAAGCAAUUUGUGCAGCCCCCUUUUCACACUCUCCCAAAAAAUCAUCCCAAAAAAACCCCAAAAUACCCCUUCCCUUAUCAUCAUCAUCUUCUUCUUCUUCUUCUUCUCCUCAUGUGGGUUUUUCCUCCUCCUCUCAAUCUCCUCCCCCUCCUCUGUGGCUUCAUCUUCUCCACGGACGCCGACGCCGACGCCGAUCUACUCUUCCUCAGCCUCCUCGAGCACGAAGAACUCCCGAUGAUCACAAGUGCCAUCUCGUUUCGGUCGGAUCUCAAGUGGAGGAGCUAAUCUUCUUCAGAGUCUCCAAGAGAAGGAGAAGGAGAAAGAUACAAGCGGAAAGACUCAAUCUUUCUGCGAUAAUCCCCCCGAUAUGAUCAAGAACCCGAUAAGUGCGGAGAAAUCUGAUGCUAGCGGAUCAACUAAAACUCCAAAGACUAACCCACCGCUGGAUUUUAAUAAUUAUAUGGACGUGCUAGCCGCUGUCUUUGGAGGGCCUGAUAUGAGCUUAGAGAAUGUCGAUAUAUUGGAGAUUGCUGUAAUGAGAGGGAUUCACUUUGAUCCUCCAAGAUGGCACAGGCCUGGUGGUUAUGGGCCCAAUCUGAAAGACUCAAAGAAAUGAAGGGGACGAUGGAGGACUUUUGGGGUCAGAAUGUUGGUAUUCUGACAUUUUGCUCAUCAAGAGAACUAUAGUCUUUUCAUCAUUCAAUGAAUUGAUUAAGCUCAUCUGUAAGAAAACACAAAGUGUUCAUCAUCCCCAUAUUUUCCUUAUCUUUUUCUCAAUCUUUUAGGUGCUCAUGACACUCCAUCCUCACAUCCCCCAUGCACUCCAAGAUGGCAUCCACCUUUUUUGGAUGUUUUACAUGCUCACACCAUAGUUCAGAUGGAUAAGGCGCUAACAUACAAGGAAUAUCUUUAACACGUCACUUUUAACUUGAUGCAGGAGUUAGAUGAGACAAAGAAAGAAUUAGAGGAGCUAAAUCUUGCAUAUGAUACUUUGGUGAAUGCUCUUGUAUUAUUGAAGAAGGAGCUUGAAAAGGACUGUGUAGGACCAAGUCAUUGAAAUGGGCCUUAGUUGAUGUUUCUCCUUUCUUCUUUCUUUUCUUUUGUUAUGUAACCAUGUUAUAACCUUCUCUUUUCACAAUUAAUGAAGAACUCUUUCUUUUGAUCA